rnacentral:rRNA from 1 species
GAUGAACGCUGGCGGCGUGCCUAAUACAUGCAAGUCGAGCGAACAGACGAGGAGCUUUCUCCUCUUACGUUAGCGUCGGACGGGUGAGUAACACGUGGAUAACCUACCUAUAAGACUGGGAUAACUUCGGGAAACCGGAGCUAAUACCGGAUAAUAUGUUGAAUCGCAUGGUUCAACAGUGAAAGACGGUCUUGCUGUCACUUAUAGAUGGAUCCGCGCCGCAUUAGCUAGUUGGUAAGGUAACGGCUUACCAAGGCAACGAUGCGUAGCCGACCUGAGAGGGUGAUCGGCCACACUGGAACUGAGACACGGUCCAGACUCCUACGGGAGGCAGCAGUAGGGAAUAUUCCGCAAUGGGCGAAAGCCUGACGGAGCAACGCCGCGUGAGUGAAGAAGGUCUUCGGAUCGUAAAACUCUGUUAUUAGGGAAGAACAAAUGUGUAAGUAACUAUGCACGUAUUGACGGUACCUAAUCAGAAAGCCACGGCUAACUACGUG